GUUAAUAUAGCAUAGUUAAGCCAAAACUUAUAAACUUAACAUUUUUAAUUUAAUGGUGUCUCAACAUGCUAUAUUAUAGUUUAAAAACUUCACAAUGUAUUAAUUUUCUUAACAAGUGGUAUCAGAGCUGAUAGUGAUGUGCAGUAUGGUAGAUGAUAAUGAUCCCUUUUACAAAUAGAGCGGGGACGGUGUGCAUGACACGGACAAGUGGUCUAUGGAGUAGGGGCAACUGUGUAUAGCACGAGCAAAUCUGCAUAGCACAAAAGUAAUCUUGAAGGCAACCCAUAAGAGGAAGAGAAAAAAAUAAAGGUGUCGCAAGUGUAAAAUGGUCAGAAAUUGGCUAUAUAGUGGAGAAGCACCAUAGGCUGUCCAUAUUUUUGUUGAAAUGGUGCCUAUAUAUAGAUGGUGAACAACUAUAUAUAAUAUAGGAGAAUCAUUUUGAAGUCGUCUUUGAAUGGAGAUUCUAAUUUGGAGCUUUGUUUUCCAAAUGUAUCAAUUAUUAUUAAUUAGGAGAAACUUUCUGGGAAAUGAUGAUGAUGAUUAUUAUUUUAUCAUAUGUCCCCCUGGGGAUUCCUCAACUGUUUCCUCUCUUGUAAAAAAUGAGCUAAUGGUUACUUUGUUGACCAGGAAGCAAUCAAGCAAUAGACCUUUUAGAAUAUAAUAAAAUUCUGCAGUUAGAGUAGAGUAUAAGAGUUUGGCUAUUGAAGUUACUGCAUGAUAUCAUUAAUGAAAAUCAUUAUUUA